CAGACUUUAGAUUUCCAACACGACUAUGCACUGGUUUGGGUCAUGUUAGAAGUCCAGAGUGCAGAUAGUGCUCGAAUUUCUCUUGGAACUUACCCAUGUCUACAUGCCCCUACUGGUAGGAUGCAUGUGGUACAUGCACCCAUUUGCAGGCCUCAUGUAGACAUAGGUAAGUGGCCACAAACCCUUUUUCUCUUUUUUCAUCCGAG
rnacentral:lncRNA from 1 species